rnacentral:rRNA from 1 species
GAUGAACGCUAGCGGCAGGCCUAACACAUGCAAGUCGAGGGAGAAGCCCUUUCGGGGGCAGAAACCGGCGCACGGGUGCGUAACGCGUAUGCAACCUACCUUUCACAGGGGGAUAGCCCGAAGAAAUUUGGAUUAAUACCCCAUAAUAUUGUUGGAUGGCAUCAUCUGGCAAUUAAAACUGAGGUGGUGAAAGAUGGGCAUGCGUCCUAUUAGCUAGUUGGAGUGGUAACGGCACCCCAAGGCUACGAUAGGUAGGGGUCCUGAGAGGGAGAUCCCCCACACUGGUACUGAGACAGGGACCAGACUCCUACGGGAGGCAGCAGUGAGGAAUAUUGGUCAAUGGUCGGAAGACUGAACCAGCCAUGCCGCGUGCAGGAAGAAUGCCUUAUGGGUUGUAAACUGCUUUUAUAUGUGAAGAAUGAGGCGUACGUGUACG